AAUAAACUGUUGAUUUAUCUAAUCAAUUAUCACUAAUAGCACCCAGCAAAACCUGUCUGCAUAUUACUUUGUUCUGGAAUGGAUUUAUCUGUGGAUUUUGUUAUGCAAAGCAAUAGGAGGGAUAGUAACAGCACCUGCAUUAGGGUUCACGGUCACUUGGGAACUCCCAGACAAGCUCUGGACGACAGCUGCCAUGCCGGAGACAACUGACAGCCACCACAAGGAUCACUACAAUGGAGAAGUGAGAAACAACCCGUCUGGAGCUUGAACAGCACAUAAUUGAAAUCCCAAGUGCCGGGGUUAAUCUCUGUUUUAGGAACAGUGCCUUUCCCAUGGGAAAACACUUUCACCUGGGCCUUAAGGGCUUCAGCCCUCAGGACCAGGUCCCUUCAGAAGUAUAGGCGGGGAAAACUGAGAAGACAUCUACUAGAGGAUGAUGGCCAGAAAUACCUGCAAGGUGUACCUUAACAUGUGAUUGCUCCAGGCAGAAAAGGGAGUAAAUAAAUCCACUGGUCAUGUGAGAAUGGUUCUCAGGAAAAGGACCUAACUUUAUAGUGACAGGUUUUGGAAAAUAAUCGCUGGUUGUUGGAACUGCUCUGUGUACAGCAACGUUUUGAAAGGGAAAAACAAGGCAAGGAUGGACUGGCAGGAAACUGUCCCUGUAGCUUGACCGUCUCCUGGAUUCCAGACAGCAGACAUUGUAUAUUCUUGCAAACAGAAUUGCAUUAAUGAUAAUUGACUCUGCAAGUAGUGUUACCCCUCUUUAAGACUCCAGCCUUUGGCUUAUUGUUCUGCUGAGUCUGUCAGUUACCAUGACGUUAAACUUUGGACAAUAACAUUCA